rnacentral:rRNA from 1 species
UACGAAGGGUGCAAGCGUUACUCGGAAUUACUGGGCGUAAAGCGUGCGUAGGUGGUUUGUUAAGUCUGAUGUGAAAGCCCUGGGCUCAACCUGGGAAUUGCAUUGGAUACUGGCAGGCUUGAGUGCGGUAGAGGAUGGCGGAAUUCCCGGUGUAGCAGUGAAAUGCGUAGAGAUCGGGAGGAACAUCUGUGGCGAAGGCGGCCAUCUGGACCAGCACUGACACUGAGGCACGAAAGCGUGGGGAGCAAACAGG